GGGGAUGCUAGGCAUCGACGGUUAACCUACCCAUGUUGUGCAGUGUUGAAAAUGGCAACCAAUUCGUUAAAAGGUUCCAUCUGUAUUUGCAAACAAAGCAAUACCAAGUCCUUACGCUAACGCGUUCGGAUUCGCUCCCGCUCUAGCGUAACCAUUCGCCGGCUGGAUCGAUGCAGCGACGUUAAACGCCUCAUACGGCGUCGUCUGUAAAAUAGCCACGGGGCUGUGGGAAGAUAUGCGUUGCCGUAUCUUUUCAAGCUUGUAGCAACUCGAGUAAUUAUUGUUUUGUCUUUCCUAUAGAUAAUUACUUUAAACAGAACUCCUGCGCUUAGAUGAAGUUCACGAAGUUCAGAAUUUUUAUGAUGAAGGCGUAGAAAAUACUACGACGACUGAAUAAAAAUUCGUGACGACAAAGAAAUUCACUAAGCGCAGAAGUUCUGACAAGGAAAAACUACGCACUGUAGAAGCACCAUGAGUACCUAAUUCGGACUGGGGUUCAACUCCCCACAUCUCCACUU
rnacentral:tmRNA from 1 species